GAUGUAUAGGAUUGUAUCACAGGGACGCAAGCGAUGAAUGUUACUUGAUCAACGCUAUUGAAAAAGAGGAAAAUUGUGCCGACUUGGAUUGGAUUAGCUGGAAAGCAUAUAAAAAAACUAAAGACCUCGGCGAGUGCAGCCAAUAUUUAUUGGUGAACAAGAAGUUCCCUGCUCGGCUGAACUUUGUUCCGAGUGAUAACGAUGGAAUUGGUGGUAUUAACGUGACGGGCAACUAUAAAUUUAUAAGUCUACCAAACUUUUCCAAAGUUCGGGGAUUUGCAAUCCUAGGAAGGUGGCGAAAUGGAACUAUUGACUCUUGCUGUGAUGAUAGGGUGACAUCUUUUUAUAUUCACCAUAGUGCUGACUAUGAAGAAUGGGUCUGGGCGGACAAUAAAAGAUUAUUUGAGGGUAAUGUGAUUCCGGAUGCCGGAAAUGAGAUUGUCGUCAAUGUGUUUCAGACGCCUGUAGAAGUGAGAUUCUUAGCGUUGUUUCCCGCAGAUAAUCAAGGGCAAAAGAUCAUCCGUUAUGAUGUGAUUGGUUGUGAAAUAUGACAUCAAACAUUUGAUAAUUCUCUGAGGCUGAGAUGCCCAAAAUGUUUCAGUCUUUCGCCUAAUAUUAUGUUUGAAUUUAUUGUAGUCGGAUAGAAUUGCAGU